rnacentral:lncRNA from 1 species
GGACCGCGCUCUGAGGUCAGCACAAUUACUAGCCCCACUUUAGAUGAGAUAACCAAGGCACAGAUGUUAACUAACCUGCCCAAGACCACACAGUACUGAAUGGUGGAGACAGGAUUCAGACCCAAGUAGCCAAGCUGACUGCGACUGCCGGGAUGGGGCGUGGGGGAGGCGCUGGCAGGGUGUUGGGGAGCAGAGGGCCCCCCCACCCCACGCAGCGCCCCGCAGAUCCGCCAGCCAGAGUCGGGUUGGGCGCGGUGCCUUCCGCGGUCGCCAUGGCAACGCGAGCAGGGUGGGAAAGAGGGGAGACAGUGGGGGAGGAGAGCGGCCUCUGCGCAUUGAUCUCGCUUCAGUCAGAUUCAAUCCCGAGUGAAAAUGGAUUUUUUAAUGCGUCUAUUAGCUGCUUUGAAAACGCAAAUUGAGUUCAGGAGAGACGGAGGCCGCCAUCAGAAAACAAUUUGGCGUCUGAGGUCCUGGGGUGCAGGGGUCGCCCCAGAACGAGGUACCCACCCCUCAAGCGGGAGCUUAAGUCUUGGCAAGGGGGAAGGGAGGAGGUACCCUGCGGCUGUUACCCCUCCCCAACCCCCAAGGUAAGGGGUUCUAGCGGGAGACAAGGGGCAGCUCUUCCAUAGAAAAGAACAAAUUGCGGGCCCCGGAGAGAAGCUAGUUCGUGAACGGCACAAUCCCGGAAGGCUUCCUGGAUGAGGCAGAAUUCUGAGGGGCCUUUGAAAAUUCACCUUCAGCAGAUCCCAGGCUCAGGCGAAAAAAAAGGCCCAGCAAACUUUGGCCCAGCGCUUUAGAAUGUAUGAAAGGCUCCUUCGCUAGCUCUUCCUUACUUGAGUCCUCCUAAGGGCUACGGAGAGUAGAUUGCUAACCCAUUUCACAGUUAAGAAAAUCGAUGAGGGGCAGUGCCCACCUGGAAACCCCAAGAAUGUUACUAAAGGUUUGGGAGACAACUGAAAGAGCCCUGAGAGGGUAUGGUUACUGCUCCACGACUUCCCCCCUGCUCAAAUCUCCAGGUCUCUCAUCACCCUCACCCACAACCUCAGAAAGAAUGUCAUCUCCUCCCUUCAACCCAAGACUCAAGCCAUUCCUGCAGCAAGAACAUGCAUCCCAUCCCUUGGAGUCUGCAUCAGGCUUGUCCACUCUGGAAUCCAGAGCUGGGCCUACAGGAGGUGCUCAGUAUUGACUAGUUGAAUGAAUGGAUGAGACCCUGCUUCCGGGUCUGGCAAGGCAAUCAUACCAAGUGUAUGCAUAUUUCCUGUCUUCUGGGUUAUUCAGCUUCAAAGUGACAGCAUGUUGGGACAGCCACAGCUUUGGUCUAAAUGCACAUUUAGGAAAAACAUUUCUCUAAUGCUUCAAGGGCACAGGCAGGCUAGAGGAGCUCCUGAUCUCCAUAACUAAAUAGCACACUUCACCUUGCAAACUGCGGCAUCUGUGCUCCAAUUUGCAGUGACUUUACAGGUUCCUCCAAGAACAAAUAGGGCAGAUUUUUGCUUGUUUGUAACUACAGGGCCCAGCCUGGGAUGGAGGAGAAGCCAAGGCAGCGUGUUCCAAAGCCUUAGCUCUCCACCUUCAGAAGCCCAAACUGCUGCCACCCCCAGCUGGCCUCACCCUGGAAAGAGCAAGGCAAGGUCUUUGUGACCCAAGCGGCCCCUGGAAUUCCAAGGUCAUUCACUCCAUUCAUUUGUUUCAAUAAAUAUUUGCAGGAUAACUCCAUACGCACUGUCUCAAGCUUUGAAAUUUAGUAGAAAAUAAAGUCCCUGCCCACUCAGCACUUUUGUUCUCCUGGGAGAGACACAAUCAAUAUACUCUGGGAUGGGAAGGGGAGGGGGUGUAAGAUCUGUGAAGGAGAAUGAGGUGAGUCAGUGGCUGGAGUGAUGCAGGGUUGCGAAUGGGGGUUUCUGUUUGAGGAGCGGUCAGGAAAUGCCUCUCUGGGAAGGCCACUUUGUUCAUUGAAAGUAAGUGAGCCAGAAAUGGGGGAGGGGAGGGAGGAUUGGGAAGAGAAAGGGAAAGAAAGGAAGGAAAGGGGACUGGACAAACAUCAGAGGGCUGCCCCACUGAGUCUCACAGGCCUUGGCUAGAGAUCUGACGGGAACCCUGGAGGGUUUAAAGCAGGGACCUGAAAGACUGUAAUUUACAUGUUCACAAGGUCCCGCUGGCUGAAGCAUCAGACCUGUAUGAGGGAGUAGGGACAGGAGGCGGGUUCUAAAUAACCCAGGUUAAGUGAAAUAGGAGGGAAGGGGCCAGGGCACAACUCUUUAAGAAAGACACAGCCAUCACGGAUAUGACAUAAACUGGUUAGAACCAACGAGGUCCAAGAUGGCAGAAGAUUCGCCUUCCAGUAGACCUUGAGGCUCAUUAUACACUGAUUAUAAUACGAUUAGCUAAAUGACACACCCACAAGCACCAGGACAGUUCCAAGGCGGACCAUAAAAGGCCAAAAAGCAGGCAGUGGCCCAGUUCCUGGAAGUUCCCACCCCUUCCUUGAAAUAGUUGGAAUAAUCCUCCCACUCAUUAGCCUGUGAAAUUACCCAGCCCAUAAAAACUAACCACACCAUGUUUCAGGGCCUCCUGACUUCUAAGAUAGCCCACAUUCUGUCUCUGGAGCGUCUUUCUCCCAGAGCCGCUCUCACGCUUUCUGCCUAUGGGAGGUGUAUCUCUCUAAAUAAAUCCGCUUACCUAUCUCUUUGCAUCUCGCUGAAUUCCUUCUGCGCUGAGACACAAAGAACCUGAGCGUCAUUAAGUUAACCAUUAACCUCCUGAGACCAGGUGUACAAUCUCAAUUGAAAGACUGUAGGUUCGUCUCCCAGCCCAUGAGUUCAAGUCUGGUUUUUGGCUGGGUUUGAGACCUAUCUGAGCUGUGCAGGUUCAUAAGGAUAAUGGUGGUUUGCACCAGGUGGGAAGAAGCAGUUGGAUUUUGAAACUCCUACAGGCAAGUCAUCAAGGACUGGCUGGCACAUUGGAUGCAGGGUGGCAAUUAGGGAUCAAAGUUGAUCCCAUGGUUUCUGACCUUGAGGCUGGUGGGGCCUCUUAUUGAGAGGAGAGAGGGGCAGGUUAGGGGGUGGUCAAACGUCUGGAUCUGCACAUGCUAAGGUGGAGCUGCCUGGUGAUGGGUUUGAGAAUGUGCUACCCCAAAAUAUGGCACCUUGGAUAGUAAAUAUUUUAAGCUGAGCAUGUUUAAAAAUAGCAGAAGCAGGACGGUCACCCGGAGGAAAGGAGCUUCCUCAUCUCCAAAGACAAAAUGAUGACAAGAUGGAAUCUAAGAAACGGGCCUUGCCGAGUUCCCCUAGUUAAUUACACUUACCUUUCACUCUAACCUGUCACAUUUCUGUGCAACUGGCUACUCGUCAUCAAACCUAGCGCAAAAACACUCAGGUCUAACUGUCUCUUCAGUUUUGUGUUCCUUAUGAAGGCUCCUGUGUCAUCAUGUAAAACUUAUGUGAAUUAAAUGUGUAUACUUUUCUCCUGGGAAUCUGUCAGCUUAAUUGUCAGGCCCAGUCAGGGUCCUAAGAGGGUCACGGAAAACUUCCCUUCCCUCUCCUGGCAAAACUGGGGACUGGGGAGGGGGCCACACAAGUCAAGUUCAGGUGCAAGAGCAGAAAGCUGGAGACGCACGACUGGGAGCCAAAACCACAGAAGGCUCUAGGGAGAGGGUACAGCCGGAGAAGUAAGGGGGUCUGUGGCCCGAGCCCUGGACACACAAACAUCCAGAGGUCAUUGGCUGGGGCCCCAUCCUGCGUAAAGCUUCCCAGUGNNNNNNNNNNNNNNNNNNNNNNNNNNNNNNNNNNNNNNNNNNNNNNNNNNNNNNNNNNNNNNNNNNNNNNNNNNNNNNNNNNNNNNNNNNNNNNNNNNNGGUCAUUGGCUGGGGCCCCAUCCUGCGUAAAGCUUCCCAGUGGACCUCUGGCUGCAGGCUGCCAGGUCCUGGAUGAUCUCUGCUUGGGGUCUCUGACUAAAUGCUGCUCUGGUCUCGUUUAACAAAGCCUAAAAGCAAGACAAAAAGAUUGAACCGUUUCCAAGUAACUUAACCACAUUCUGGACAAACCUCAAGAAUAUUUCUAUGUAUACAAAAAUUACCAGCACCCUAGGAAGUAAAAUUCACAAUAUCUGGCAUCCAAUGAGAAAUUACCAGGUAUACAAAGACAGAGGAAAAUGCGAUGCAUAAUAAGAAAAUAAAUCAAUCAAGUUGAAACCAACACAAAAUGACACAAUGACAGAAUUAGUAGACAAGGAUAUUCAAAUAGUUCUUAUAACUCCACAAGUCAUUUGGGGGGGCUUGUUCUACCUCAAGGACACUGGUGCUGGCAAGCACCAUUUUGGAGUCUUUCAUCUAGUCUAUUAGUGCCAGGAGCUUACCUACCAACCAGCUGGCCAUCGCUAGUUCCAGGGCCCCCUGAACCAAAGAGACAGCCACACUGGGACCUGCCCACCCCACCCCAUUAAUGGGCUGGCCCCAGCUCCAGGACCUGGCCCCACCCACCAGCAGGCAGCAGUCAACCAGGCCAGGGAUCGGCCCCGCCCA